rnacentral:rRNA from 1 species
GUGGGGAAUUUUGGACAAUGGGCGCAAGCCUGAUCCAGCAAUGCCGCGUGCAGGAAGAAGGCCUUCGGGUUGUAAACUGCUUUUGUACGGAACGAAACGGUCCUGGCUAAUAUCCGGGGCUAAUGACGGUACCGUAAGAAUAAGCACCGGCUAACUACGUGCCAGCAGCCGCGGUAAUACGUAGGGUGCGAGCGUUAAUCGGAAUUACUGGGCGUAAAGCGUGCGCAGGCGGUGAUGUAAGACAGUUGUGAAAUCCCCGGGCUCAACCUGGGAACUGCAUCUGUGACUGCAUUGCUGGAGUGCGGCAGAGGGGGAUGGAAUUCCGCGUGUAGCAGUGAAAUGCGUAGAGAUGCGGAGGAACACCGAUGGCGAAGGCAGCCUCCUGGGAUAACACUGACGCUCAGGCACGAAAGCGUGGGGAGCAAACAGGAUUAGAUACCCCAGUAGUCC